rnacentral:rRNA from 1 species
UACGUAGGGUGCGAGCGUUAAUCGGAAUUACUGGGCGUAAAGGGUGCGCAGGCGGCAGAGCAAGUCGAGUGUGAAAGCCCCGGGCUUAACUUGGGAAUUGCGCUCGAAACUACUUGCUGGAGUGUGGCAGAGGAAGGUGGAAUUCCACGUGUAGCGGUGAAAUGCGUAGAGAUGUGGAGGAACACCAAUGGCGAAGGCAGCCUUCUGGGCCAACACUGACGCUCAUGCACGAAAGCGUGGGGAGCAAACAGG